UGGGUUAGAAAAUGAUGUCUCUCUGAGACAUGCAUGAUGACUACAACAUUGCGAGUCUGAGGUCCAC
ensembl:snoRNA LOC120093413 small nucleolar RNA SNORD113/SNORD114 family